UACGUAGGCAGCGAGCGUUGUUCGGAAUUACUGGGCGUAAAGCGUGUGUAGGCGGUCGGAUGCGUCCGGUGUGAAAUCUCCCGGCUUACCUGGGAGGGGGCAUCGGAUACGGUCGGACUUGAGGGCAUCAGAGGCCAGUAGAACUCCCGGUGGACCAGUGAAAUGGGUAGAGAUCGGGAAGAACACCAACGGCGAAAGCACUCUGCUGGGCCGACACUGACACUGAGAGACGAAAGCUAGGGGAGCGAAUGGG
rnacentral:rRNA from 1 species